GAGAAGAAGGAGGAAAAUGAGAGGAGGAGGAGAGAAGAAGGAGAGAAUGAGUAAAAGAUGACUAGGAGGAGUGGAGACAGGAGGAGAGGUUUCGGGAAGGAGGAGAAGAGGAGGAAUAGGACAGGAGAAGGAGUAAUAGGAGGAAAGGAGAAGGAGAGGAGGAGGAGGAGAGGAAAAGGAGGAGAAGAGAAGGAGGAGGAGAAAAGUAGAGGAGCAGGGGAGAGGAGGAGAAAAAGAGGAAGAGGAGGAAAAGGAGAGGAAGAGAGGAGGAGGAGAGGAGAAAUAGAAAAAGUGGAGGAGGAGGAGAAUGAGAGGAGGAGAAUGAGAGGAGGAGGAGGAGAAAAAUAAGAGGAAAGGAGAAGAGAAGGCAGAGGAGAGGGAAAGGAAGAGAAAAUGGAGAGGAAGAGAAAAGGAGAGGAGGAGGAAGAGGGUAGAGGAGGAGAAGAGAGAAGGAGGAGAGGGAGGAAAGGAGAAGGAGGAGAGAAGGAGAGCAGAAAGGAGGAGGGGAGAAAGAUGAGAGGAAGAAGAGAGGAGGAGGAAGAAAGGGGAGAAGUGGAGGAGGAGGUGGGGGAGAAGUGGAGGAGGAGGUGAGGAAGAAGAGGAGGGGAGAAAGGAGAAAAAGAAGAGCAGGAGAACAUGAAUGGGGAGGAAGAAGAGAUGAGGAGAGGAGAAAAGUGAGGAGGAGAAGACGAAAAGGAAUGGAGUAGAUGGAAAGGAAAAAGGAGGAGGAGGAGAAAAAAGUUAUCACUUUGUGACAGUAAUUAUGACUCUUUUCAUGGCUUUUGGAUUAAAGUUCAAACUCAACAGGAGAGACACACAGAUAAAAAAUCCAGAUUAUUUCAGAGCUCAAUUUCAGAGCUAAAGGAAAAGAUAUGUGGUAAUACACCUGUGGACGUUGCCAAUGCAAAACAGUAGCAUUAUUUUGGUUUUGGAUCCAGACAUAUGUCACCAUAGGCAAUGUAUGCAGUGCCUAGGAGAAAGUAGAGAGCCACAACAGUUAGGUGCUGGGCCUAGUGAUACAUCACAAUCCCUUUUUGGUCAGAGACCAAACAGUAGAGGAGAGCCAUAUCACCUAGGUUCUAGGUCCAGCAAUACAUCAUAAUACUUUCUGAGAGGAAGACCAAAGCAGGAGCGCCACAUCACCUAGGUGAGAGCCCCAGAGAUAUGGCACAAUGCCUUCUGUGGGUAGGGCUCAGGAAGAAGAGGAAAGUUACAUAACCUAGGGGCUACAGCCAGCUAUAUGUCACAAUCACCCCCAAGGGGCAGGGACGAUGCAUGAGAGGAGAGUCACAUCAAGUAGGUGGUGAGCAAAGCAAUAUGUAACAAUCAGAGGAGAGUGUCAUCUCCUACAUGCUGGGCCAUGAGAUAUGUUACAACAUCCCCUAUGGGCAAAGCCCAGGUAAGAGAAGAGAUACACAUCAAAUAGUUGAUGGGCUAAGAGAUACUUCUCAAUGCCCCCUGGAGAAAGAGAUUAGGAGAAAUAAAUCAGAUUGCCUGUGUUCUGGGCCCAGGGAUAAGUCACUAUUUCAUCUAUGGAUGUGGCCCAGGCGGGUGAGGAGAGUUACAUCACUUAGAUGCUGGGAACAGAGAUAUGUAACAAUCUCUUCUAUAAGCAAGACCCUGGUAAGAAAAGAAAAAUACAUCAAAUAUUUAUGGACCCACAGAUGCCCCCUUUUUGACAGAGUCAAGGCAAGAAAGUCACAUCACCUUGGUCCUGGGCCCAGAAAUAGUCACAAUACCUUCUGUAGACAGGGCCAAGGCAAAUGAGUCACAUCUUGGAGCUGGGCCCAGGAUAUAUGUAACAAUCUCCCCUGUGGGCAGAGCCUAGGAAGAAGAGAAGUGUCACAUUAGCUAGGUGCUGAGCCCAGGGAUAUGUCACCAUCCCUCCAAGCAAGAGAUGAGAGUACAUUACCUGGGUGAGGAGUGCAGGGAGAUAUCACAAUCCCCUUUUUAGGCUGGGCCCAGGCAGAAGAGUCACAUCGCCUAAGUGUUAGAAUGAGCGAUGUGUCACAAUGUCCCUUCUGUGCAGCACCAAGGUAGGAGAGAAAACUUACAUCACCUGAGUGCAAGUCCCAGCGAUAUGCCACAAUGCCUCCUGUAAGAGGCACCAAGGCUUGAGAAUAGAGUCAUCUCGCCUAGGUUCUGGGUCCAGCAAUAUAUCACCAUUCUAUUUGUGAACGAAGCCCAGGCAGGAGAGUCAAAUCAGGUGUUUGGCUGAGGCGUAUGUCACAAUCACACCUUCAAAAAAUCCACGGAUGAGAUUAUCAAUCCCUCACAUGUUCUGGUUCUAGGUAUGAGAGUCAACAUGUCUUGUAUGUUGUGUAAAGUACAUGAGUCACAAUCUCAACUGUGAACUGGAUCUGUGCAGCAGCUUCUCAAUGUUUUCUGGGCAUUGUGUCCCCUUAGAUAAGUCACAGCCUGACACAUGUGCUAAAUUAUGGUUUGAAGGUCAACAAAUCCAUGCAUAACAAAAAUCCAUGUAUGAGAGUCAACAUUGCAACUUUUGACUGCCUCUAGAUAUAAGAUUCAAAUCCUCAACAGUGGGCCAUGCUUAUGUGAGAGGACAACAAUCUUUACUCUUGACUGUGUCUGCUUACUAGUAUUACAAUCUCACCUUUGAGCUGGGCUCUGUUAGUACACUCUCUGUACCACCCAAAGAAUUUAUGAGAUACAUGGUUUGGCUCUAUGUCCUCACCCAAAUCUCAUCUACAAUUGUAAUCUCCAUGUGUCAAGGCAGGAAGGUCAUUGGAUCAUGGGACAGUUUCCCCCGUACUGUUUUUGUGAUAGUGAGUGAGUUCUCAGAGAUCUGAUGGUUUUAUAAAUGUUGGAAGUUCCUUCUUCAUUCACUUUCUCCCUCCUGCCACCUUGUGAAGAAGGUUCCUGAUUCUCCUUCUGCCAUGAUUAUAAAUGUCCUGAGGUCUCCCCAGCUAUGUGGAACUGUGAGUCAAUUAAAUCCCUUUUCUACCUAAAUUACCUGGUCUUGGGCAGUUCUUUAUAGCAGUGUGAAAAUGAACUAAUACAAUAUGAUAUGCAUGAGAAUUGCAAUCUGCAUUAAGACCUUCAUGCUGAUAUGAGCCCAUGAUUGUACGUGUCACUCUAAGCUCAGGUAUGAGAGUCAACACCUCCCCAGUUGGCUGUGUCUAAAUAGAAGAGUACUCAUGUGCCUAUGAGCUGGGUUUAGAAAUGGGUCACUAUCCCAUAAGUGUCCAGAUGUUCACAUGUGACUGACACAAUUCCAUCUGUAGACUGUGUCUACCUGUGAGAUUCAGGAUCUCACCAGUGGGUUGUGUCCAUGUGUGAGGAUGACUAUUUUAAGGAUUGGCAGGGUGUGCAUACCAGAAAUACAGUAUUUCUUGUGUCCUUGGACCUGUGAUGACACUCUCUGUACCACUUGAGGGCUUUAUACAAUAUGCAAGAGAGUGGUAAACUCUGUGACCUUUGUACAAAGAGGAUACCCAGGAUUUUACCUUUUUCCCUGAGCCUUGCUAUAAGAGACAGUAUCUCUCUCAUUGGCUAGUUCAAGGUAUGAGAGUCAUCAUCACCUGUGAGCUGGGCCAAGAUAUAUGUCACAAUCACUCAUGGAUUGGGAGUAAGCAGGAGAGUAACAUUACCUUGGUUUGGGGCCAGAUGUAUGUCACAAUCUCCUGUGAGGGCUCAGCAAUAUGUCACAAUGAUCUACGUAUUCAAGACUCAGUCAAAAGAGCCUCACCACCUUGUCGCGGGGUCCAGUGAUGUGUCAUAAUCUUUUCUGUUAGGAGGGUGCAGGCAGAAAAGAAGAGUCACAUGUCCUAGGUAGUGUAUGCAGAUAUAUGUCACAAGGCCCACUGGGCAGGGCCCAGGCAGGAGCCUCUUAUUUUCUAGGUGUUGGGCCCAGUGUUAUUUCACAAUACACCAAAUAUUUGGGGCCUGGGAGAAAGGACAGUCACAUCACAUAGGUGCUGGGCCAAAAGAUAUAAUAACCCUCUUUAGCAGAGCCCAGGCAGAAAAAUAAAUGUGUCACAUCACCCAGGUGAUAAACAAAAAGGUAUGGCAUAAUACCCCUAUGGGCAGGGCUCAUGCAGAAGAGUUGCACCACAUAGUUGUUAAGAUAGGCCAUAUGUCACAAUACACAAUUUAUGCUGAGCUCAGGCAGGAGAAAAGAGUAACAUUACCUAUGUGCUGGGCUCGGCGAUACAUCACAAUACCUCCUUGGUCAGAGCCCAAGAAGUAGAAGAGAGUUACCUCACCUAGGUGCUGAGUCCAUCAAUAUGUCACAGUACUCACUGACUGAAGGGCCCAAGAAUGAGGAUUGCAUCAUUUAGGUGAGGGGCCCAGAGCUAUGUACCCAUGCUCCCUGUAGGUAGGGCUUAGGAAGAAAGAAGAGAGUCACAUAACCUGUCACAUAACCUAGACAGAUGAGCCCAGCCCUAUGUCAAAAUUACAACAGUGAUCAGAGUCCAGACAUGAGAGGAGAAUCACAUCACAUAAAUGUUGGGUGAAGGAAUAUGUCACCAUCCCUACUGGGGACAGAAGCAGAAAAAUAAGGAGAAUUACACCAUCUAGGUAAUGGGCCCAGAGAUACAUUGCAGUGACCCCUGUGGGCAAUGACCAGGCAGUAGAAUCACAUCACCUGUGUGUUGGGCUUAGGGAUAAUUCACUCUACCUUCUGUGGGCAUAGCACAGGCAAACAAGGAGAGUCACAACACCUAGGUACUGGAAUCAGAGACAUGUGAUAAUCUCUUCUAAUGGCAAAGACCAAGUAAGCAAGAAGAGUCACAUCAAAUAGUUCAUGAACUUAGAGAUAUGUCACAAUGCCCCCUGUGGGCAGGGUCCAGGCAAGAGACUCACAUCAUCUUGGUGCUGAGCCCAGCAAUAUGUCAGAAAACUUUCUGAGGUCAGAACCAAGGCAAAAGUGUAACAUCACCUUACUGUUGGGUCCAGAGACACAUCACAACCUUUCCUGCAGGCAGAACCUAAAAAGAAUAGAAGAGUCACAUCAACUCAAUGCUGGUCCCAGUGAUGAGUCACAAUAUCCCCUGUGAGCAGAGAUCAGGCAGAAGUGAGUCACAUCACCUAGGUAAUGGAUGCAGAGAUGUCACAAUGCCUCCUGUAGGCAGGGACCAGGCAGGAGAGUUAUAUCAUCUGAGUUUUGGACCCAGUAAUGUAUCACAAUGGGCCAUGUGGGCAGGGUACAGGCAGGAGAAUCACAUAAGUUGGGUGUCACAAUGCCUUCUGUGCACAGUGACAAAAGAGAAGGGUAGACUCACAUUAACUGAAUAUAAGGCCUAGUGACAGUGAUAUGUCACGGUGCUGUCUGUGGGCGGUGCCAAGGCAGUGGACUAGAGUCCCAUCAUGAAGGUACUGGGUUUAGCAAGAUGUCAAAAUUCCAUCUGUGGGAUGGGCUCAGGCAGAAGGGUCAAAUCACUUAGUUGCUGGACAGAGGUGUAUGUCACACAAUCUCACAUGCAGAAAGAUACAGGGAUAAAAUUAAAAUUCUUGCACAUGACCCAAUUCUAAGUAUGGGAGUCAACAUCUCCUCUAUGUUGGGUCUAAAUACAUGAGUCACAAUCUUAAUGGUGGACUAGGUCUGUGCGUGGGAACCUUGCUUUCUUCUGUGCACUAUGCCUCCUUAGUAGAGUCACAGCCUUACAGGUGUGCUGAAUCUUGGACGGAGAGUCACCAGCCUACCUGUGGACUGGAUCCACAUAUAAGAGUCACUUUUUCAAGUUUCGACUGCCUCCAAAUGUGACGUUCAGAACCUCAAAAGUUGGCCGUGUUCACAUGGCAGUAUGACAAUCUUUAUUGUCAACUGGAUGUGCAUACAGGAGUCAAAAUCUCACCUGUGCUGUGCCUUGUCAGGAAACUCAUUGUAGCACCAGAGGGCUUUAUGCAUGAGAGUCUCAAUAUGCUCUGAGAUCUCCCUGCUGGUGUGGACCCAUGGUUAUAAUUUUUACCCUAAGCUCUUGUCUGAGUCAACUUCUCUCCAAUUGGCUAGGUCCAAAUAGGAGCAUCCUCACCUACCUAUGAACUAGGUUUAGAAAUGAGUCACCUGGCCGGGCGCGGUGGCUCACACCUGUAAUCUCAGCACUUUGGGAGGCGGAGGCGGGCAGAUCAUGAGGUCAGGAGAUCGAGACCAUCCUAGCUAACACGGUGAAACCCCGUCUCUACUAAAAAUACAAAAAUAGUUAGCCAGGCAUGGUGGCGGGUGCCUGUAGUCCCAGCUACAUGGGAGGCUGAGGCAGGAGAAUGGCGUGAACCCGGGAGGCGGAGCUUGCAGUGAGCCAAGAUCGCGCCACUGCACUCCAGCCUGGGCGACAGAGCGAGACUCCGCCUCAAAAAAAAAAAAAAGAAAAGAAAAGAAAUGAGUCACCAUCUCAACUGUAGCAUAUGGCGGAAACAAUUCCAGCUGUGGUCUGUGUCGACCUGUGAGAUUCAGGACCUCAGCUGUGGGCUCUGUCCACGUGUAAGGGUGAAAAUCCCAAUGGAUGGUAGUGUAAGAAUAUGAGAAACCCAAUCUCAUUUGGAUGCUGGGCUCUGUGAUGGCAUUCUGUUCCCCACUAGGGAUUUACACCAUGUAUGAGAAAGUGGUAAUUUUCUAUAACCUUCAUACAAAGAGGAGACAUGGGAUCUUACCCUUUUCUCUAAUCCCAGCUAAAACUGACAGUAUCCUUUCUAUUGGCUGAUGUGUGGCAUGAGAGUCGUUAUUGCAACUGUUAGUUGGACCAAGAUAUAUGACACAGUCUUACCUGUGGGUAGGGAGCAAACAGGAGAGUCACAUCACCUGUAUUCUGGGCCAGGAAUAUGUCACAAUCUUCCCUGACACAAGGGACCAGGCAGAAGAGUCACAUCACCUGGGUACUCAGCCAGGAAUAUGUUACAACCCCUGCAGGGUGCAGGCUGCAGAGUCACCUCACCUCAGUAAUAAGCCCAGCAAUAUGUCAAAAUGCUUUCUGUGGGCAAGGCCCAAUUACGAGAGACACAUCAUCUGUUUGCCGAUGCCAGCAAUAUGUCACAAUCUUCCCUGUAAGCAGGGUUCAGGGAGAAGAAGACAGCCACAUCUCUUAGGUGAUUAAUGCAGAGAUAUGUCACCAGAUCCACUGUGGACAGGCCCCAGGCGGAGCCUUCCAUUUUCUAGGUAUUGGGCCCAGCAAUAUGUCACAAAACCCAAAACAUGUGGGGACCAGGCAAAAAAAAAAAAAAAAAAAAAUCACCUCACCUAGAUGCUGGGUCAAGUGAUAUGUCACAAUCUUCUUAUUUGGCAGGUCCCAGGCAACAAAAAUGUGUCACAUCUCCUAGGUGAUGAAUAAAUUGUAUCAUAUAAUACCCCUGUCUUCAGGGCUCAUGCAGAAGAGUCGCAUCACCUACUUGUUGAGUCCAGCCAUUUAUUACAAUACACAAUGUAUGAUGGGCAAAGGCAGGAGAGGAGAGUAACAUCCCCUAGGUGCUGCAUCCAGGAAUACACAUAAUGCCUCCUUGAGCAGAGCCCAAGAAGUAGAGAAGAGUCACAUUACUUAGGUUCUGGGUACAAAAAUUUCCUACAAUACUUCCUGAGAGAAAGGCCUAGCCAGAAGUGUCGCAUGACCUUGGUGAGGGGACAAGAAAUAUGUAGCAAUGUCUCUGGUAGGUAGGGCUAGAAAAAAAGAGAGGCCUCAUAUAACAUAGAGUCAGUGCUCACUUAUCUGCCACAAUCACACCCAUGGGCAGGGCUCAGACAAAAGUGGAGAGUAAUAUUAUGUAGGUGCUGCACCAGGCAAUAUGUCACAAUUUCCACUGUGGACAGGUCCAAGAAAGAAAACGAGAAUCACAUCACCUAGGUCAGGUCAUGGGCCCAGAGAUAUGUUGCAGUGGCCCUUGUGGACAAUAACCAGGCAGAGGAAUGACAUUGCUUGUGUGCUGGUCCUAGUGGUAAUUCAUUAUCCCUUCUGUGGGCCUGACACAAGCAAAAGAGGAGAGUCACAACACCUAGCUGCUUGGCCCAGAGAUAUGUCACUAUCUCUUCUAUGGGCAGAGUCCAGGUAAAACAGCAGAGUCACAUCAAAUAAUUGGUGUGCCCAGAGAUAUGUCAUAAUGCCUUCUGUUGGCAGGGCCCAUGCAAGAGAGUCACAUCACCUAGGUGUUGGACCCAGUCAUAUGUCACAAUACCUCAGGCAAGAGAUGAUAGUCACACCAUUUAGGUCUUGAAUCCAUUGAAACAUUACAAUUUUUCCUUGAACAAAGGCUAAGCAGUCAAGGAGAGUUACACCACCUGCUUUAGGUCCAGCAAUACCUGACCCCUGAGAGGAGGGCCCAUGUAAAACGAUAACAUCAUCUAGGUGAGAGGCCUAGAAACAUGUCACAAUUUUCUGUGUGGGUAAAGAUCAGAAUGAAGAGGGAAGUUGCAUAACCUAAUAGGUGGGCUGACCUAUAUGUCACAAUCACUCCAGUGAAAAGAGUUCAAACAUGAGAGAAGAGUCACACCACAUAGGUGCUGCAUAUUUUGCAAUACAGAAUAUAUGCAGAGCCCAGAAAGGAGAGGACAGUCACAUCACCUAGGUGCUGUGCCCAGCAAUAAAUUGCAAUCUCUUUUAGGGCAAAGCCCAAGCAGUAGAGGUAAUCCUUGCUGCUGGACCCAAAAAUAUGGCACAAUACGCCUGAAAAAAGAGCCCAGGAAGAAGAGUUACAUCAUCUGGGGAGGGUUCCAAAAAUAUGUAAACAUGCCUUCUGUGGGUAAGCCUCAGGAUGAAGAGAAGAGAAAAAUAACCUAGGGGCUGGGGCCAGCUGCAGUUACAACCUCAGUGAGCAGGGCCCAGGCAUGAGAGGAGAGUCACAUAACACAGAUGCUGUGCCAAGUGAUAUGUCACAACUCGCACUGUGGACAGGUCUCUGGAAAUAAAGGAGAGUCACAUAAUCUAGUUUAUGGUCACAGAGAUACAUCACAAUGUGUGUAUCUCUUGUCUUUAUGGACAGGAACCAGCAAGAACAAUCACAUCUCCUGUGGGCUGCAUCCAGGGACAAGUUACCCUCCCUUCUGUGAUCAGAGCCCAGGAAGAAAAGAAGAGUCACAUUACCUAGGUGGGCCCAGAGAUAUGUCACAAUGUCACCUGUUGGCAAAUACCAAGUAAGAGAGGAGAAUAACAUCAAAUAGAUAAUGGGUCCAGAAAUAUGUCAAUUCCCCCUGUUGGCAGAAUCUAGGCAGGAGACUCACAUCACCUGGGUUUUAGACCUAGGAAUAUGUCACAAGAUGCAAUGUGGGCAAUGCCAAGACAAAAUAAUAAAAAACAUAUACCCUAGGUGCUAGGGGCAGGAAUAUAUGUCACAAUUCCAUGUGACAUUCAUGGACCUACACCUAGGGUAUUUGCCUGUAUUGUGACAUUCUCACUCAGGUGCUUGGCAGAAGUGUAUGUGAUAAUCAGAGCUGCAGGUAGGUUCAAGGAUAAGAUUAAAGAUCCUACACGUGUCCCUGUUCUGGCUAUGAGAGCAAACACCUCUUGUAUGUUGGGUCUAAGUACAAAAUUCACAAUAUUAACAGUGGACUGAAUUUGUGCAUGAGAACUUCAAUCCCUUCUGUGGACUGUGUCUUAUUCAUGGAAUCACAGUCUGAGAUUCACCAACCCACCUGUGAAUUACAUCCAUGUAUGAGAGUCAAUUAUCCAACUUUUAACUUCCUCCUAAUGUGAGAUUCAGAACCUAAGCAGUAAACUGAAUUCAUGGGCAAGAAUGAAAAUCUUUACUAUGAGUUUUGUGUGCAUAAGAGUGCCACAAUCUCACCUGGGCCAGAGAUAUGUUACAAUCCCCUCCUGAAAGCAGGACACGGGCAGCAAAGUCACCUCACCUGGAUGCCAAGCCCAGCAGUAAAUUACAAUGUUCUCUGUUAGCAAGGAACAUGAAGGAGAGACACAUCACCUGGCUUCCGGGCCCACUGAUACAUCACAGUCUCCCCUGAGGGAAGAACGUAAAAAGAAGAGGAGUCACAUCAGCUAGGUACUGGGUUAGUCACAGGUCACAAUCCCCCCUGUGAGCAGGAACCAGGCAGGAGAAGUGAGUUCCAACAAUGUGCCCUGUGGGCAGCACCAAGGCAGGAUAAUAGAGUCACAUCACCUAGGUGCUGGGUCCAAAAAUAAGUCACAAUCCUGUAUGUGGGCUGGUCCCAGACUGUAGGUCAAAUCACUCAGGUGCUGGCCAGAGGCAUAUAUCACAUUUACACCUGUAGGAAAGUCAUAGAAUGAUAUUUACAAUCCAGCACAUGUCCUGUUUCUAAGUAUGUGAGUUAACACCUCAUAUAUGUUGGGUCUAAGUACAUGAGUUCAUCUCAACAAUAAACUGGAUCUGUGCAUGAGAGGCACAAUCUUUCCUGUGUGCUGUUUUAUCUGGGUGAAGUUACAGCCUCACAGGUGUGCUGAAUAUUGGUCUUAGAAUCACCUACCUACCUGUGGACCAGAUUCACAUAUAAGAGUCAAUUUUCCAACAUUUGACUGCUUUUGGUUGUGAAAUCCAGAGCCUUAACAAUGGGCUGUGUUCAUGUGGGAAGAUGACAAUCUUUUCUGUCGACUUGGUGAGUCUCACAAUCUCACCUAUGUAUCACCCUAGGGCUUUAUACCUGAUGCAUGAGAUUCUCAAUCUGCUCUGAGACAUUUGUGCUGGUAUGAAUCAUGAUUGUACCUGUGGCCUUAAGCCCAAGUAUGAGAGUCAACAUCUCUCCAAUUAGCUGAGUCCAGAAUGAAGAAUGUUCACCUUCCUAUGAGCUGACCUUAAAAUGAGUCAUCAUCCCAACUGUGCUUACAUGUUUAUGUAUGAUAGUCACAAUCUCAACUCUAGACUGUGUCCACCUAUAAGAUUCAGGACCUCAAUAAUGGGCUUUGUUCAAGUGAGAAAAUGAUGAGAAACAAAACCUCACCUGUGUCUUGGACUCUGUGUUGACACUCUCUGUAUCACCCAAGGACUUUCUAUGAAAUGCGAGACAGUGGUUAAUUCUCUAUGACCUUCAUACAAAAAUGAGACCUAGAUUUGACCCAUUUUCCUAAGCCCAGCUAAGAGAGAUAGUAUCUUUCAUAUUGGCUGGCUCAAGUUAUGAGAGUCAUUGUGACACCUGUAAACUGAACUAAGAUAUAUAUGACAGUCCCACAAUUGGGUAAGGAGGGAGUGAGCAGGAGAAUCACACCAUCUGGGUGCUGUGCCAGAGAUAUUUGCAACCGUCUCUGAGGGCAGUGACCAGGCAGGAGAGUCAUAUCACGUUGUUGCUGGGCUAGGGUUAUGUCAUAAUUUUUCCUGAGAGUAGGGACCAGCAAGAGAGUCACAGUACCUGUGUUUUCAGCCAGGGAUAUUGUAUAAUCCCCUCCUGAAAGCAGGACUAAGGCAGCAGAGUGUCUUCACCUGGUUGCUGGGCCUAACGAUAUGUCACAAUGUCUUCUGUGGCUAGACCCAAUCAGCAAAGGCACAUUACCUACUGCUGGCUCCAGUGAUGUGUCACAGUACUCGUUUUUUUUUUUUGGCAUGGCCUAGGCAGAAGACAAAAUUUGAAAUACCUAGUGAUGAACAAAAGACACACCAUAAUAACCUUGUGGGCAGGACCCGUGCAGGAGAGUCACGUCACCUAGGUGUUGGACCCAGCCAUAUUUCACAAUACACAAUAUACGUGGGGGCCAGGCAGGAAAAGAGAGUUACAUCACCUGCUGAGCAGGCUCAGUGAUGUGUCACCAUCUCCCCUGUGCACAGGGUGCAGGCCAAAGAGGAGAGUCACAUUUCCUAAGUGAUAGAUGUAGAGAUAUGUCACAGGCCUCCUGUGGGCAAGGCCCAGGCAGGAGCCUUUUAUUUUCUAGAUGUUUAGUGCAAAAAUACGUCACAAUACCCUAAAUAUCCAGGGCCCAGACAAAAGAGGAGUGUCAUGUUACCUAGAAUCUGUGUCCAGUAAUAUGUCACAAUCCCCACUUUUGGCAAGACCAGCAGAAGAGGAGAGACACAUCACGUAGGAAAUAGACAUAAAAAAUAUAUCGUAAUGCCUCUGUGAGCAGGACUUAUGCGAGAAAGUAGCAUCACCUAGGUGUGAUAACAUGCAACAUGUCACAACACACAAUAUGUGCAGGGCCCAGGCAGGAGAGGAGAGUCACAUCACCUAGAUGCGGCGCACAUCAACACAUACAAAUUCCUUAUUGGUCAGAGUCCAAGAUGUUGAGAAAGUCACAUCACCUAAAUGCUUGGUCCAGCAAUAUGUCACAAUACCCUCUGAGUGAAGGCCCCAGGCAAGAGAGUGAGUCACAUCACCUAGGUAAGAGACCCACAGAGAAGUCACAAUAUUUUCUAUGACCCAGGUCCUGGCAAAAGAAACACAUCAUCUGGUUUCUGGAUCCAGUGACAUGUCAAAAUUCUUUCUGUGGUCAGGGUGUAGGCAGAGGUGAAGAGUCACAUUUUCCAGGUGAUAUGUCACAAUGCCUACUGUGGGGACGGUCCAAGCAAGAAACUCAACUCACCUUGGUAAUAGUCCAAGUAAUUUGUAAUAGUGCCUUUUGAAGGCAGAGCUAAGGCAAAAAAGUGACAUCACCUUGGUGUUGAGUCCAGCGAUAUGUCACAAUGCUUCCUGUAGACAUCACCAAGGCAGAACAUGAGACUCACAUCACCUGGGGGGCAAGGCCUACCAGUAUGUCACAAUGCCGCUGUGGACAUUGUCAAGGAAAGAGUAGAGUCACAUCACCUAGCUACUGGGUUCAGUGAUAUGUCAUAAUCCCUUCUGUGGGCUGGGCCCACAUAAGGAGAGCCAAAUCACUUGGGUGCUGGGAAGAGGCACAUUUCACACCUGCAAGAAGGUCCAAGGAUGAGAUUAAAAAUUCCACACAUGUCCAAAUUCUAGAAUCACAGUCUCACAGGUGUGCUAGAUUUUGAUCUGAGAGACAGCAGUCAACCUGUGGACCAGAUCCACUCAUGAGAGUCAAUUUUCCAACCUUUGACUGUCUCCAGGGCCCAGAUAGAAGAGAAGAGUCACAUCAUCUAGAUGAUGAAUGAAAAGAUACGUCAUUAUUCUCCUUUGGGCAGUGCUUCUGCAGAAAAGUUGCACCUUCUAGGUGUUGGACUCAGCAAUAUAUCACAAUGUCUGCAGUAUUUUGGAAGGAGAGGAGAGUCACCAUUACUUAGGUGCUAGGCCCAGCAAUACAUCUCAAUCACUUCUUGGGCAAAGCCCAAGCAGUAAAAAAGAGUCACAUUACCUAGGUUCUGGGUAUAGCAAUAUGUCACAAAUGCCCCUAAGAAGAGGGCCCAGGAAAAGAGAGUCACCUUGGUGAGAAUGUCAGAGAUAUUCCAUUUUUGGGUAUUCACAGAAAAGAAUAAAGUCCCAUAACCUAGAAGGUGGGCUCUGCUCCAUGACACAAAUCACCCUAGUGGGCAGGUCCAUUAAAGAGAAGGCUGUCAAAGCACAUAGAUGCUGGGCAAAGUGAUAUGUCAUAAUCCCCAUGAUGAUAGGCCCAGAGACAUGUCACAAUGACCUCUUUAGGCAGAGACCAGGCAGAAGAAUCACAUCACUUGUGUGCUGGCCCUAGUGAUAAGUCACUCUCAUUUCUGUGGACAUGGCCCAGGCAGAAGAGCAGAGUCACAUUACCUAAGCGCUGGGUCAAGAGAUAUGUCACAAUCUUUUACAUGGGCAAAACCCAGCUAAAAAAGAGGAGUAAUAUCAGAUAGUAGGUGUUGCCAGAGAUAUGUCAAAAUGCCCCCUGUAUGAAAGACUCAGGCAGUCAAAACACAUUAGUUGGUUUCUUAACCUAGUGAUAUGUUAUAAUCUUUCCUGUGGGCAUGAUGCAGGCAGAAGACGAGAGUCAUGUGAUGGAUGCAGAGACAUGUCACAAGGUCUUCUGUGGGCAGGGUCCAGACUGAAGCCUUCCACCUGCUAGGGGUUGAGCCCAGUGAUAUGUCACAAUACCCAAAUUAUGCAGGGCCCAGGCAAAAAAAACGAGAGGCACAUCACCUGGGUUCUGGAUCCAAUGAUAUAUCACAAUUUUCUAUUUUGGCAAGACCCAGGCAGAAAGAAAAAUUACAUCACCCAGGUGAUGAAUGAAAAUACAUAUUAUAAUAGUUUUGUGGGCAGGACCCAUGCGGGAGAGUCACAUCACCUAGGUGUUGGACCCAGAAAUAUGUCACAAUAUACAGUGUAUACAGAGCUGAGGCAUGAGACAAUAGUAACUUCAUUCAUUUGUUGAGCCCAGCUAUACAAUCCUUUUUUGGGCACAGCCGAAGUAGUAGAGGAGAGUUACAUCACCUUGGUGCUGGGUCCAGCAAUGUGUCACCAUACCUGCUGAGGGGAGGGUACAGGCAAGAGAGCCACAUCACUUAGGUGAGGGGCCCAGAGAUAUCUCACAGUACCCCCUGUGGGUAGAACUCAGGAAAAAGGAGAGAGUCACAUAAUCUAGAAGCUGGGCUCAGCUGUAUGUUACAAUCACCCAGUGGACAGGUCCCAGGCAUGAGAGUAGAGUCACAUCACAUAGGUGCUGGACCAAGCAAUUUGUCACAACCUUCACUGUGGACAGGUCCCCAGAAAAAGAGAAUCACAUCAUUUAGGUAACAAAACCUGAGUUAGUCACUGUUACUUGUUUGGGCAGAGGUCAGGAAGAAGUGUCACACAACAUGUAUGCUGGACUAAGCAAUACGUCACUCUCUCUGUUUUAGGCAUGGCCCAGGCAGGAGAGAAGGGUCAUAUCACCUAAGCUCUGGAUUCGCAGAUAGGCCCCAAUCUCUUUUUUGGGCAAUGCUCGGGUAAGAGAGCAGAGUCACAUCAAGUGGUUGAUGGGCCCAGAGAUAUAUCACAUUGCCCCUUGUGGACAGGGACCACGCAGGGGACUCACAUCACGAUAGAGGUAGGACAAGGAAUACAUCACAAUAUGUUUUGAGAGCAGAACCAAAAAAGAGUAACAAUCUUUGUGUUGAGUGCAGCAAUAUGUUACACUUUUCUUUGUGGGCAGAACGUGUAAAGAAGGAAAAAGUUGGCCGGACACGGUGGCCUGUAAUCCCAACACUUUGGGAGGUCAAGGUGGGCAGAUCACCUGAGGUCAGGAGUUCAAGACCAGCCUGGCCAACAUGGCAAAACCCUGUCUCUACUAAAAAUACAAAAAUUGGCUGGGUGUGGUGGCAGGCACCUGUAAUUCUAGCUACUCAGGAGGCUGAGGCAGGAGAGUCACCUGAACCUUUGAGGCAGAGGCUGCAGUAAGCAAAGAUCACGCCACUGCACUCCAGUGUGGGUGACACAGCAAGACUCCAUCUCAAAAGAAAAAAAAAUAAAGGAAAAGUCACAUAAGCUAGGCACUGGGCCCAGUGAUAUGUCAUAGUCACCCAUUUGAGAAGGGAACAGCGAAGAGAAGAGAGUCACAUCACCUCUCUGGUGGACACACAGAUAUCUCGCAAUGCUCUCUGUAGGCAGGGCCAGGGCACAAGAGUUAUAUAACUUGGGUGUUAGACCAAGCAACAUGUCACAAUGACUGAUAUGGGCCAGACACAGACAAGGGAGUCACAUAUUUGGGUGUAGGGCUCAGUUAUAUGUUGAAAUGCCCCCUGUGGGCAGCGACAAAGCAGGAGAGAAGAUUCACAUCACCUGGAUAUAAGGCCCAGUGAUACGUUACAAUUCCCCUGUGAGCAGCGCUAAAGCAGAAGAAUAGGGUAAUAUCACCUAGGGGCUGAGUCCAGUGAUAUGUCACAAUUCCAUCUGGGCUGGGCCCAGGCAGAUGUGUCAAAUCAUGAAGGUUCUGUGAAGGUGCAUAUAUCACAAUCACACCUGCAGGAAGGUCCAAUAAUGAGAUUAACAAUCUCACACAGGUCCGGGUUCUAGGUAUGAGAGUCAACACCUGUGUGUUGGAUCCAAAUAGAUGAGUCGUAGUCUCAACAAUUGACUUGAUCCAUGUGUGAGAUCCUAGUUUCUAUUUGCAUUACUAUUGGUACCAGUACCUAUUAAUUCUUCCACCUUCUACAUCUUUGUUCUGUAUGAAUGUAUAUACAAAGAUUGAUACAUAUACAAGAUUAUAUGAGUAUUUCUAUGUAAAUAUGUACACAAAAAUUGUUCCUCCAAAGACAUUUUUCAGUCUCUUAGCAUAUUCUAAGGGUGCAGAUGUAGAAUUAUUUCUCUUCUCUGGCUCAGUAGCAUGUCAGAAUGGAACAUAGGUAUAGAAUGUUUUUUGUAUAGACAAAGCUUCACUUUCAGGGGCAAGGUUUGGGAAAUAAGCUGAUAGUAAAGUCAUGUAACACUUUCUGUGCAGGUUAGCAUUUCUGGACCUUGCUUUCCUUCUCAGUGUAUGCAUGAGCUAUUCUCAUGCACCACUGGGGGCCAGUCUUGAUUAAUCUACAGUUGAAAUUUAGAGAACUGGCUGAUUGAAUCCACGUGGGCUGAGCUAACUGACAUUGAAAUCAGCUGGGCUGAGCUUAUUGGCCAGUUAAAAUCAUCUGGGCUCAAAUAUCGGCUGACUGGAGUCACCUGGGCUAAACUAAUUGCCUGAUUUUAAUCUCCUGGGAUUGGUUAAUUGACUGUAAUGACCUGAUUUGAGUUAAUUGACUGAUUGAAAUCAAAAGUGCUGACCUAAUUGGCUGAUUGAAAUCACCUAGAAUGAGGUAAUUGACUGAUUGGAUUUACCUGAUCUGAGCUAAUUGGCUGAUGAGAAUUACCUAGACCAAACUAAUUGGCUAAUUGGAAUACACUGGGCUGAGCUAAUUGGCUGAUUGAAAUAAUCAGGGCUGAGUAAGUGGGCUGCUUGUAUUCACCUCCCCUGAGAAGAAUAAGUAGGGAAAUGAUCUCUGACUUACCUUUUUUUUUACAAGACAUACUCAUAAAUGGACAUUACAUAGAUAUAUUUAUAUAUUUGUAUGUGUUUGUAUGUGUUUAUCUACAUAUAUUAUAUCUGUUAACCUUCAAGUUAAAGUGUGCAAAGGAAUCUGAAAUUUGCUUUCAAUAUUGCAGUCUAUCUUCAAUUUACAGACCUUGGCUUUUCUACCCCAAUUCAAGAAGUCACUUCUUCAGUCAACCAAACCAAUUACAAAAUUGUGUUCCAAUGUCACAUGUUCAAAAAUAAACAGUUCCUGAAAAGAUGUAAGCUUUAAAUGGAAUUAGUCAGCAUUUUCAAUUUUGGUUAGUGCCUUUAAAGCUAGUUUAUCUCUGUUUCUAUAUUAAUCAGAAUGAAAAGAAACAUUUUCGACUUGGCAUUGAAUGACAGUUGUGGUUUUAGUAAAUUUCUUGCUCACACAUAGGAUCAACAAAAAAAUACUUUUUUUUUUUGAGACAGAGUCUCACUCUGUUGCCCAGGCUGGACUGCAAUGGCACAAUCUCAGCUCACCACAACCUCCAUCCACCAGGUUCAACUGAUUCUCUUGCCUUAGCCUCCCAAGUAGCUAGGAUUACAGGCAUGUAUCACCAAGCCAGGCUAACUUUGCAUUUUUAGUAGAGACAGAGUUUCUCCAUUGUUGGUCAGGCUGGUCUCGAACUCUCAACCUCAGGUAAUCCACCCACCUUGGCCUCCCAAAGUGCUGGGAUUACAGGCAUGAGCCUCCGCACCCCGCCAGUUUCACAAUACUUUUGAGCAUGGGCAUCAAAGUAUCCUCAAGGUUAAAAAUAUUGGGGUCCAAGCAUUCUACCUCUUUGAUUUGUAUGGUUUGAAUUAUGACUCAGCAUUUUAGGAACAUGUUGGCUCCAUAAUCUUUCACUCACACCCCACUUGAAAAAGAAGAUAAUUUUUCAGAUACACUUGGAGAUACAACUACAUAUUAUCCACAUCAUUUUUCUUGGGAACUGAAAACUGGUUUUAUACUCAAACAUCCUAUUGGGCAACUGUCAAAUAAAUUAAUUCUGACAUUUGUUAAAAAUUGGAAAGAAAGACUUUAAUACUAUUGCAGUAGAUGUUAUGGCCAUUUUAAUAGGAUUCAAAAAUUGUUCACAACUCUGAACACAGACAACUCAGGAUUUAUAGUCAAUAGAAAGAAUAGAUCAGUGGAUAAAAAAUUACUGAGAGAAAUUUGAUAAAAUACCAAAAGAAGAGAGAUUUUUUUCUAACAGGAUUCUGGCUACAGGCAGGCUAACGACUUAAAUAUCAAGGAAGGGGAAUUAAGUUUUCAGAAGUUGUAAAGAAUAUGUGGAUUCUUACUAAGCAAUCUUAGCAGGAUUUCUGAAAAUGAGCUUCUCAAACCAGGAGUAGGGUAGUAAGUCAAGGUUGGCUUAGUCAAAAAGAAGGUUCAGUUAAGCUUGACUAACCUUUGGUCAUAAAGGGAGUGCUUGUCAGAAUGAAGACUUUUUCCCAUCUAAUCUGAAAAUAAAUAAACAGUAAAAGAGACUUUGUUUGGAAAAUAAGUGCCCACUUCUCCUGAGAAUAACUCCAUCUUCUUCUCUUUAUCUUUGAAUUUAGUGUAGCAAAAGAGCACUGGUCAUUGCCACAGUUUUUAUUUUUCUUUCAUUCUUAAAAAGAGAGAUUCUGUUUCAUUCAAACAGCAAGUUACCAGACACAAAAGCUAUAGUUCCUGACCCCUAUUGAAGCUGACAAUGACUAGAGGACGUUCAGGACAUUUGGGUGUAAGCAGAAGUAUCGAUGGAACUUUGGGGAGACUCCUUAGUUGAAGCUAACACAGCUGUGUGAGUCACUUUGACUUUGCACCUUUUCUCCUCCUUUGCUCUUUGAAAUGCACAUGGUGGUUGGUGCAGGCUGGUGCUCCUACAGCCAUCUUGGGCCAUGAGACAGCCUACAGCAUAAAAACCAUCUACCAAAAUAUUGUAGCAGAGAAGGAUGCUGAGAUACCUGAUUAGAAGCAGCUACGAUGUGUGGCUCUCAUGGAAAGGAACAAGAGGAGAGUAAAUGCAGCAUCUUCAACUGAAACACCCAAGUAUUUGCCUUGGGACUCAUGAAGGAAACAGCUCAACCCAUGGAGAAUGGAGGAAAGCAGGACAGGGCCACUGACCACUCAUGAAUGACACAGAGCCAAGGGAAACUACCCUGCCCAGGGAAGUGAUGAGUGAAUGUGUGAUCCUGGAAAACCACACUUCUCCCAUGGAUCUUUGCCAUCCUUGGGUCAGGAGAUUUUCUCUUGAACCCAUUCCACCAGGGCUUCUGGUCUGACACACAGAGCUGCAUGGUCUUGGCAGAGCAACUACUGAGGCACAAACAGAAUCUCAGGAGCCUUAGAUACUCUGGCUCCGGGAUCUCUGGCAAAGGUGAAAGCUACUCAGAAAAUGCAAGAAUUUGGACCUCUGUAAACACCCCUAGGAAGAAAGCUGAAUCCAUGGGGCUGAGCAGCAUCAGUCUGUGGACCCCACUUUCAUAGAGUUUCACAGGAUAAGACCCACUGGCUUUGCAUUCCAGCCACUCCCCAGCAAUGGCAUUGCAUCUACCUGGGAUGGGACAGAGUUCCUGGAGGCAGGGGCAGGCUGCCAUAUUUGCUGUUUGGAUGACUCAGCCAUUCCAGCCUGUGGGUUUAGGAAAGUCCAAACAAAACUGACAGCCUAUGGAAAGAAACCUCCAGCAAAGCACAGUGGCUCUACCAAAAUGUGGCCAGACUGCUUCUUUAAGUGGAACCCUGACACAUUUUUUGUCUCAGGGUGGGGCCUCCUAUCAGGGACUCCAGCCGGCCCCUCCCAUAUUCUCUGGCAGACAGGGAUUUGAUUUCUCUCUGGGAUGCAGUGCCUAGUGGAAGGAGUGGGACACCGUAUUUGGUAUUUGGACAACUCAGCCAUUCUAGCCUGUGGGCUUAGGAGAGACCAAAUCAUCAAGGGACAGAAGGAAUCUCCCAGCAUAGCACAGUGGCUCUACCAUAAUGUGACCAGACUGCUUCUUUAAGUGGGACUAUGAUAUGCUCCUCAUCUCUGAGAGAUAAUUCCCAACCAGAGCCUCCAGCUACUCCCACUGAUGUUCUCUGGGUAACAGAGGUUUGAAAACAUUUUGGGGCAUAGUUCCUAGAGAGAGGGGUGGGCCAACAUCUUUGCUGUUUUGCAAUGUAGCUGUUUCAGCCUCCAGGCUUGGGAGAGCCCACCCUGAUGAGGGGCAAAAAUGGUACCCCAGCACAGCAUGGCUGCUCUAUUAAAGUGGGGCUAAACUGCUUCUUUAAGUGGGUCCCCAAUUCUGUUCCUCCUAGCUGGGUGAGAUCUUCUAACUGGGAUCUCCAGUCACCUCCUCCAGAUGUGUUUGGGCCAGCAACAUGUCUGCACCUCCCCUGGGGAUGGAGCUCCCAAGGGAAAGAGUGGGCUGCUAUAUUUGCUGUUUCACAGCCUUCAGUGGUGAUACCUCCAGAUACUGAAAAAUCCAAGAACUAGGAACUGGGGCAGAUGCCCAACUAACUGCAGCAGCUCUACAAAGAAUGGCCAAAUAGUUAAAAACAAACAAACAAACAAACAAAAACUCCCAUUCAUAGGUCAGCAACCUCAAAGAUUAAAGGUAGAUAGGCACACAAAGGUAAGAAAGAAUCAGCACAAGAAUACUAAAAACUCAAGAAGCCAGAGUGCCCUCCCUUCUCCAAAUAACCAUAUUACUUCUUCAGCAAGGGUUCAGAAUGGGGCUGAGGCUGACAUGGCUGAAAUAACAGAAGUAGACCCCAGAAUGUGGAUAUAAAUGAACUUCACUGAGCUAAAGGAGGAUGUUCUAACUCAAUGCAAGAAAGCUAAAAAUUAUAAUAAAACAUUGCAGGAGCUGACAAACAAAGUAGCUAGGAUAGAGAAGUACCUAAUCAACCCUGGUAGAGCUGAAAAACACAAUACAAUAAUUUCAUAAUGCAAUCACAAGUAUUAAUAGCAGAAUAGACCAAGCAGAGGAAAGAAUCUCAGAGCUUGAAGACUGUCUUUCUGAAGUAAGAAAGGCAGACAAGAGUAGAGAAGAAAAAAUAAAAAGGAAUAAAAAAACCCUCUGAGAAAAAUGGGAUUAUGUAAAGAGACCAAAUCUAUAACUGAUUGGUGUACCUGAAAGAGCUGGGGAGACUGGAACUAAUUUGGAAAACAUAUUUCAGAAUAUCAUCCAUGAGAAUGUCCCCAAUCUUGCUUUCCAGGCCAACAUUCAAAUUCAGAAAAUGCAGAGAACCCCAGUAAGAUACUCCAUAGAAAGAUCAUACCCAAGACAUAUAAAAAUCAGAUUCUCCAAAGUUGAAAUUGAAAUGAAAAGAAAAAACGUUAAGGGCAGCCAGAGAGAAAGGUCAGGUCACCUACAAAAGGAAGCCCAUCAGACUAAUAGCAGACCUCUCAGUUAAAACCCUGCAAGCCAAAAGAUGUUGUGGGUCAAUAUUUAACAUUCUUAAAGAAAAGAAAUUUUAACUCAGAAUUGUAUGUCUUGCCAAACUAAGCCUAAGCUGGGGUGAAAUAACAUUCCCUUUAGACAAGCAAAUGCUGAGGUAAUUCAUUACCACCAGAUCUGCCUUUCAAUAGCUCCUGAAGGAAGCACUAAUUUGGAAAGAAAAAAUUAUUACCAGCCACCACAAAAACACACUGAAGUACACAGACCAGUGACUCUAUAAAUCAACCACAUAAACAAGUCUGCAAAAUAACCAGCUAGCAUCAAGAUGACAGGAUUGAAUCUACAUAUUACAAUACUAACCUUAAAUGUAAAUGGACUAAAUGCCCCAGUUAAAAGACACAGAGUGGCAAGUGGAUAAAGAACCAAGACCCAUUGGUAUGCUGUCUUCAAGACACCCAUCUCACAUGCAAUAACACACAUAACCUCAAAAUAAAGAAAUGGAGGAAAUUUUACCAAGCAAAUGGAAAACAGAAAAAAGCAGGGGUUGCAAUCCUAGUUUCCAAUAAAACAGACUUUAAACCAACAAAGAUCAAAAAAGACAAAUAGAGGCAUUACAUAAUGGCAAAGGGUUCAAUUAAACAAGAAGAACUAACUAUCCUAAAUAUAUAUGCACUGAACACAGGACCAACCAGAUUUCUAUAACAAGUUUCUAGAGGUCUUCAAAGAGACCUAUACCCCCACACAAUAAUAGUGGGAGACUUUAACACCCCACUGAUAAUAUUAGACAGAUUAUUGAGACAGAAAAUUAACAAAGAUAUUCAGGACCUGAACUUAGCUCUGAAUCAAAUGGAUGUGAAAGAUAUUUACAGAACUUUCCACCCCAAAACAACAGAAUAUAUAUUCUUCUCUUCACCACGUGGCACUUUGUCUAAAAUUGGUCACAUAGUCACAAGUAAAACACUCCUCAGCAAAUGCAAAAGAACUGAAAUCAUAAUAAACAAUGUCUCAGACCACAGUACAACCAAAUUAGAACUCAAGACUAAGAAACUUACUAAAAACCAUACAAUUCCAUGGAAAUUGAAUAACCUGCUCCUGAAUGACUUUUGGGUAAAUAAUGAAAUUAAGGCAGAUAUCAAGAAGUUCUUUGAAACUAAUGAGAACAAAGACAAAAUAUACCAGAAUCUCUGGGACACAGCUAAGGCAUGUUAAGAAGAAAAUUUAUAGCACUAAAUGCCCAUAUCAAAAAUCUAGAAAGAUCUUGGGUUGACAACCUAACAUCACAACUAAAAUAACUAGAGAAACAAGAGCAAAGAAAUCCUAGAGCUAGGAGAAGACAAGAAAUAACCAAAAUCGCUGGGCAUUGUGGCUCACGCCUGUAAUCCCAGCACUUUGGGAGGCUGAGGUGGGCAGAUCACGAGGUCAGGAGAUCAAGACCAUCUUGGCUAACAUGGUGACACCCUGUCUCUACUAAAAAUACAAAAAAUUAGCUGGGCGUAGUGGCAGGUGCCUGUAGUCCCAGCUACUCAGGAGGCUGAGGCAGGCGAAUGGUGUGAACCCGGGAGGCGGAACUUGCAGCGAGCUGAGAUCGUGCCACUGCACUCCAGCCUGGGCAACAGAGCGAGACUCCAUCUCAAAAAAAAAAAAAAAAAGAACCAAAA